rnacentral:tRNA from 1 species
GCGGCGGUAGUUCAGUGGCAGAAUGUCUCCCUUCCAAGGAGAAGAUCGCCGGUUCGAAACCGGUCCGCCGCUCCA